ACGAACGCUGGCGGCGUGCUUAACACAUGCCAGUCGAACGGAAAGGCCCCGCUUUUGUGGGGUGCUCGAGUGGCGAACGGGUGAGUAACACGUGAGUAACCUGCCCUUGACUUUGGGAUAACUUCAGGAAACUGGGGCUAAUACCGGAUAGGAGCUCCUGCUGCAUGGUGGGGGCUGGAAAGUUUCGGCGGUUGGGGAUGGACUCGCGGCUUAUCAGCUUGUUGGUGGGGUAGUGGCUUACCAAGGCUUUGACGGGUAGCCGGCCUGAGAGGGUGACCGGCCACAUUGGGACUGAGAUACGGCCCAGACUCCUACGGGAGGCAGCAGUGGGGAAUAUUGCACAAUGGGCGGAAGCCUGAUGCAGCAACGCCGCGUGCGGGAUGACGGCCUUCGGGUAGUAAACCGCUUUCGCCUGUGACGAAGCGUGAGUGACGGUAAUGGGUAAAGAAGCACCGGCUAACUACGUG
rnacentral:rRNA from 1 species